ACUUAAAUAAUUUAAGUUUAAAAUAUUGAUUUGUGGUAUCAAAUAUGUAAUUUUUUUACUUUAAGUU
rnacentral:tRNA from 2 species